rnacentral:misc_RNA from 1 species
GAUGAAUAACUCAGCGAAAUGCGAUAAGUAGUGUGAAUUGCAGAAUUCAGUGAAUCAUCGAAUCUUUGAACGCACAUUGCGCCCCUUGGUAUUCCAUGGGGCAUGCCUGUUCGAGCGUCAUUUGUACCUUCAAGCUCUGCUUGGUGUUGGGUGUUUGUCUCGCCUCUGCGUGUAGACUCGCCUCAAAACAAUUGGCAGCCGGCGUAUUGAUUUCGGAGCGCAGUACAUCUCGCGCUUUGCACUCAUAACGACGACGUCCAAAAGUACAUUUUUACACUCUUGACCUCGGAUCAGGUAGGGAUACCCGCUGAACUUAAGCAUAUCAAUAAGCGGAGGA